AAAAUGGGUUUGAAAGUGUUCCCUCCUCUUCAAUUUUUUGGGAGGAUUUGAGAAGGAUUGGCAUUAAUUUUUUUUUUUUUUUUUUUUGCCAGAGAGUCUGAAUAUAUUUGUAUGGCAUUAAUUCUUUUUCAUAUGUUUGGUAGAAUUUACCAGUGAAGACAACAAGUCCUAGGCUUUUCUUUCUUGGGAGCUUUUGAUUACUGAUACAAUCUCCUUACUCAUCAUUGUUCUGUUCAUAUUUUUUAUUUCUAUAUAAUUCAGUCUUGGUAAGUUAUAUGUUUCUAAGAAUUUAUUUAUUUUAGAGUAUCCAAAUUGUUGGCAUAUAGUUGUUGGUGGUAGGUUUUUUUUUUUAAUGAUUCUGUGUGUUUCUGUGGUUUCAGUUGUAAUGCCUUAUUUUUCAUCUAUAAUUGUUUUUAUUUGAUUCUUCUCUUUUUUUCCUAGUAAGUCUAGCUGAAGGUCUGUAAAUUUUGUUUAUCUUUAAAAGAACACAAAACUCCUAGUUUUAUUGAUCUAUUUUAUUGUUUUUCUGGUCUCUAGUUCAUUUAUUUUUUUAUCUGAUCUUUAUUCUUUCUUUUUUCUUAAUGUAGACAUUUAUUACUAUUAACUUCCCACUUGGAACUUCUUUUGCUGCAUCUAAUAACUUUUGGUAUGUUAUGUUUCUAUAUUUGUUGGUCUCAAGAUAUUUUUAAAUUUCCUUUUUGGUUACUUCUUUGAUUCAUUGGUUGUUUAAGAGUGUGUUGUUUAAUUUUCACAUAUUUAUGAAUUUUCCAAUUUUCCUCAUGUUAUUGAUUACUUGUUCAUACCCUUGUGGCUGAAAAAGAUACUCGAUAUGAUUUUAAUCUUAUUACAUUUGUUAAGACUCAGAUACAUAGUGUCAGGAUUGAGUUAAAUUGUAGGAAACCCAGUUAGUGCUCAUUGGAGAAUUUCUUAGUGUGUGGGGAAAACUCCCCAUAUAUCUGGUGUCAGAAGUAAAGUACUGAGAGUGGUGAGUGAUUUGAAAGUGGGAAAACAGUUUUUUAUCUCUUACAGCAAGUAGCCUAAACUUGCUUUAAGCCAAAGCCGGAAAAAAGUGAUAUGUUCACCAUAAAUGUGUUCCUCAAAAUGCUAAGUAUUUCUUUAAAGUGAUUUGGUUUUAAUUUCAUAAUUUGUCUUAGCACAAAAUGAUGAUUAUGAUGACGUGAUAAACAAGCAAAGGUGACUAACAGAUGGUGCAGUCCCAGAGGCAGAAGGAAAGCCAACUGCAAGUAAUGUCUGGCAGCAAAAUGAAGGAAUAGGCAAUGCAGUGAGCCUAGAAGGAAGGUCCCACUGGUAGGCAUUAUCCUGCUGGGGGUCUGCCCUUCUCCAGGCUCCUUUUCUUCUCCCUGCCAGAGGCAAGGGGAGUGGAGGCAGGUCCUGGGAGACAGGCUGAGUGAGGAGGGGGCAUCUCCCCAGGGAUCCCAGGAGUGAGUCACCCAAAUAAACAAGAGGCUUCUUACCAGGUCCCUUGGAUGGAUGCAAAAACAUGCAUCCAUGUCAAGGGACUGGUAAGAAAAUGCGGGCAGAUCAGAGUUUCUCAAGGGUGCUUCUAAAAUGCCUAACACUAAAAUGCAGUGUUUCUUAAAAAUGCAGAUUCCUCGGCCCUGCCCCACAUCUAAUGAAUCAGAAUCUCUGCGAGAGAGGCUGGGUUCCACAAUUUAUACCAGUUUGCAAGGUGAUCUCUUGCAGACUAAAGUUUGAGAACCAUUGAGACUACACAGUGUGACUUGGGAGAGGAAUGAGACAGAGAGAAGUACUAGCUGCAUCAGGUAAGACUGCAUGCCUGGCGUCACGUAACAGGGCCAGUGUAAGGGACUGAAGGGUUUCCUAAGGAAUAGAAUCUAUCUUUUUCUUCAAUUAUCAUAGAUUGCAUAGAACCUACAUAGUUUCAGUAUAAAAGUGGCAUCAUCCAGCAAUACUUUCCAAAUCACUUCUGAAAGCAGAAAGCAGGAAUGAAAAGAUAACAUUUUACAGCAACUCUUCAAGGGAGAAUAAAAAUGCUUUUAAUAAUAUUCUUACUUUACCCCUACUCUGAUUUUUUUACCUGCUAUAUUGCAGGUAAACUAUAUUAAAUUAACUGUAUUAAGUUUACUGUACUAAGUCAACUAUAUUAAGUAACUAUAUUAAGUUAAAAGAUGAUUGUGCAUAGGAAUGAACUUGAAGGCGUAUUUCAGAGCCACCCAAAUAAAUCGGCGUGGCUAGUAUAGAGAACGAAAAUACUAACUGCUCUUCCCUAAGAAUUUACCAGGACUGGUGUCCAGGUUGUCUACACCUCCCAGGAGAUGGGUAGCAAAGUUCUGGGUUCCUAUGACAGCUUUACAGAUAUGCAACACAGAAUCUCCUACUUUAAAAAAAAUAGUCAUCCUUUAUAAAAGCCAAAAGUUGUAAGAUAAUGUUAAUGUAACAUCAUCAAAGCUACAACCUGAUUGUGCCAACUUAAAUCACUUAUGAAAGUGACAUGCUACAAUGAGAGCAUAUAGAGCAGGGAACAAGAGCCCCGAGAGUUUCGAGAAGCCUGGACUGCUUCUAUUUUUGUAGAUUUUAGAAUAUUUUUUUUAAAAUGAAGAGAAGAUAAAAAAAUUUUAAAUGCCAAAACAAGAUAACAGAAACUACGGUAUAUUGUAAAUAUACACGUAACAAAUUAACUUUUCAUAGCAAAAAAAAAACAAAAAAAGAAUAAGUAGAUGACACAAUAUAAUUGUUCACACAAUAAUGGAAUUUGUUUUUGAAGUAUUCAUUUAUAAUGUUUCAAAGGUGGUGUAGUCUGGUUAUACAGUCAUGGGAUAUAGGUUAAAAGUUACAUGAAAGACAAUCUAAAUCUGUGGGCUUACUGCUUUGAUCAUAGCCUGUAAGUGUGUUACUUUGACUAUAUACAUCAUAGACCAUACAUGUCAUUUGAGGGUAAAGAAAAAACACCAGAAUAGAGCCCCUUUUUAAUGGGAGGUCUAAGCCAAAUGCCCCACCACUCACCUUCAACUGGGCCUGGUAGUGAUGAGUUCUCUGGGCUGAACUGAUUCGCAGGACACCAACUAGAAGCAGAACCUUAGGCAAUUCAUCUAUGCACUGUUACCUGGGUUUCCCAAUCUGUAAAAUAAGGGAAGAUAAUUAUAGAGGUUCCUUCUAGCUCUAUGUGUCUGUUACAUUUUCAUCCAUUCUAGUUUGUUUGCUAUGCAUUUCUACAGUACCUCUCCUCUUGCACCAGAAGAGUGAGUUGCUAGAAUUUCCUUGGUGCCAGUGAACUGUGUAAAAGCGUAUUCGUUCCUUUUAUUACCCUUCAAUUCUGUCUCUUGCCCUGGGUUCUUUUCUUUGCCACUGGACCAGCUCUUUAAUAAACAUUUCACGAGUUGUCCCAAUAAUUAACAACUAAUUAACAAGAAGGCCUUGCUGCUAGGGGUUAGUGCUUUCAAAAAGAAAUGAGCAGGAAGGCUGCUUUGCUUUCUAUAUUCACAAGGCCCCGCCAUUGUCAUUGUAAUCUGCUGGAGAUGGUGGUGCCUGAAUAGUGUGAACAAUCUCAUUAAAGAUCUCUGCUGGAACAAUCAAUUCACUGUCACCAGACCAUAUCGAUCCUCGAGAACUGUCAUUGAGUUCCAGGGUGUUUGUAAAAAAUUGACAAUCAGAAGUGUGCUUCCAUUUGGGCUAUUUAUUUCUCUGAGAAACACAUUAUAAUCAAAUGGUAUCUAAGUGGCUCUCUUGGUUGCUCCUGCAUGCUGGAAAUGCUGAUGAGAAGUUUCCUGACAAACGUUUUAGCGGGAUGCCUUUUCCAGACACACCAGACCAGCAUGCAAAGCACCUGCUGGUUACUCUGCCCCCUCCUG
rnacentral:lncRNA from 10 species